UGGUGAUCUAAGGAGGAGCUCCUUUUGUU
rnacentral:piRNA from 1 species